UACGUAGGGUGCAAGCGUUAAUCGGAAUUACUGGGCGUAAAGCGUGCGCAGGCGGUUUUGUAAGUCUGUCGUGAAAUCCCCCGGGCUCAACCUGGGAAUGGCGAUGGAGACUGCAAGGCUAGAGUUUGGCAGAGGGGGGGUAGAAUUCCACGUGUAGCAGUGAAAUGCGUAGAUAUGUGGAGGAACACCGAUGGCGAAGGCAGCCCCCCUGGGUCAAAACUGACGCUCAUGCACGAAAGCGUGGGGAGCAAACAGG
rnacentral:rRNA from 1 species